GAAAUGCGAUAAGUAGUGUGAAUUGCAGAAUUCAGUGAAUCAUCGAAUCUUUGAACGCACAUUGCGCCCCUUGGUAUUCCAUGGGGCAUGCCUGUUCGAGCGUCAUUUGUACCCUCAAGCUCUGCUUGGUGUUGGGUGUUUGUCCCCGUCUCCGCGCGUGGACUCGCCCCAAAGUGAUUGGCAGCCGGCGUACUGGUCCCGGAGCGCAGCACAUGUCGCGCAAACGAGUGCCUUGGUACGGCGGCGUCCAUAAGCCCCUCUCUCACGCUCUUGACCUCGGAUCAGGUAUGGAUACCCGCUGAACUUAAGC
rnacentral:misc_RNA from 1 species